CUUGUUUUCCCAAGCUGCUACAGAGCUUCUGCAGCUCCAAGCAUGACCACUAUAUUUGGCUGCUUAAAAGCAUGACAAGGGCAGAAAUCAUAAAGGCUUUGCCCAGCGGGCCUUGAUUGUCCUUGCCUUCUUGUCCUUUGGUGAGAACUUCAUUGGUCGUGGCUCCAAAAAUCAGGAGACUUUCUGUGAUGAAUUCACCAUAAGAACGUGGGACCCAGCCUCCCUUGAAGGACGUGCAUGAUUUCCCACUUACCUCCCGCAACCACUACCACCCACAUUGUCCACAGUAUUCAGCUGUCUCAGGGAGGAUCACAAUUAUUCUAAUGGGACUGCAAAGAGUGAAGGACACAGCUUUUAACAUCAGAUUCGAAUCCUACAAUUUGGAACCCAUGGGCACUUCUAGAUUGGAUCUUGCAGAGAUUUUUUACAACAGAAAGAAUGGAAAGGCAAAAGAAAACAUUGAGUAAUAACCAACCCAAGCAAGUCCAGCCUCUUUCUGCAGAAGCAGAUAAUCAGGAUGACUCCACCUUUGUAGCUGACUGAGGAACUUAGUGAACCCUGAAGAAAUGAUGAUUAAAG
rnacentral:lncRNA from 1 species